rnacentral:snoRNA from 1 species
AUUAUUAUGUGAUGAUUGAUAUACCGCCCCAGUCUGAAAGUCUGAUGAAGGUAUUCUCUGAAUUGAG